rnacentral:pre_miRNA from 1 species
AGUAGAAUUGCUGAAUCAUAGGGUUAGCAUAUGUGUAUAAGAGAUUACCAAACUGCUUUUCAAAGUGGCCAUACCUUUUCAUAAUGCCAUCAGUAAU